GCCGGGGUAGCUCAGCUGGGAGAGCAACAGACUGAAGCCAUACUGAGUUCUGGAGGUCCCGUGUUCAAUCCACGGUCCUGGCA